rnacentral:lncRNA from 1 species
GAAGGGAUAAGGAUGCAAGCGGCUGGAUUGGUUUGAGAGGAUCUCGGAGGAAGGGGAUCACGGAGAAGAUGGGAGGAAGUUGGGACUCGUUGGAUUUAUCAGGCUCUGUUCCUUGGGAUAAGGUUGCAAACUGGAACAGGGGAAGAAUGAAUCACGGACGCGGGGAAGAUGAGCUGGGAUUUGUUGGCCGCGGGAGAUUCGGACGCGGGAGCGGUUGGAGCUGGAUCUCGGAGGCUCUGG